AGGUUUAAAUUGGUUGUAGAAUUUAUAUUGUAACUUGCAUAUUUAUUUAGUUGAGUUUAAUCUAAGUUUAUAUCUGAUGUGUUUGUAUUAUUUUAGAAUUUACUGUUUUAGACACGUGGCAUGUGGUAUCCCACUAAUUAGCUAUUUUAAACAUGUGACAAGUGGUAUGACACUGUAUUGAUGUAUGAUAAAUGUAUAGAGUCUUUCAGUUAUCAGAUAAUGUCAAGGAGUUGACAGCAUGGUGUCCGAAUUACAGUGCGAACCUGUGUACGAGUAACAACAGUAUUCAAAACCAAAACCUAUUUAAACCAACCAAA
rnacentral:lncRNA from 1 species